GAGAAAAGGAAAUCAGUAGCACUGCAAAUGCUCUCCCUUUUUCUUCUUCAACCUAACAUGUCCCUUUAUCUUUGCAUUUCCAAGUACCUGGAGUGAGCGUUCAUCUCCAUGUCCUCUUUUGAAGACAUAUUCCUUUUUGUGUUGUCUUGAGUUUCAUUCAUCAAUAGAAUUUGAGUACAUAUAACAGGGCCCUUCAGGUGCAAGUUUAGGGUUAUAUAUUUUAUUCAGAAAGUAUAUCAAGAACAUUGCGACGUAGACAUAAUUCAGGGUUCUAGUAACCCGAAUUAAUCGAAUAACGAUAAAAUGCUUUCCCUUUUUCUUCGGACAUGGGUAGUGGAAAACCUAAAUUAUCACAUGGAAAAAAAAAGCAAAUAUAAUGAUUUUCUUUGAGCAUACAAACAACAUGUUAAACCAGCUACGUAUCUCACAAAAAAAAGAAGAAAAAGAAUGUGGGUCAGUAAUGAUCUCAAGCCAUGAUGUUGUAUACUCUUGUGACAAAAAAAGAAAAAUAAAACAAGUAUCACAAGGGAAAAUUUUCUUUUAGAUUAUGUCCGAUCAGAGAAGUUAAACAUGAGCUGAAAGUCACUGCCAUGCCCAGGUAUGAGAGAGCCAGAGUCCUUAACACCUGCAUCUCGUUUGAUCAUCAAUUCAGUAAGAUCACCAAAGCUAGACCCAAAGAAAUUCAGAAACCCAAAAGCUAUUGCACUUACAAUCAUUGAAGACGAUAUGUCAAAUUACUUUGAUAUAUUCCUAAUCAAUAAAUGAUGAAAGUUCACAUUUUUCUUAUCUUUUUUAUGUUCAUUGAAGUUGUAUAAAUAGAAGAUAAAAGCAACUCAAUAAAUAUUGCUUUCCAAGAUUAUCUUCUAAUUUCUAAAUAGGUGAAAACUGAAAAUGCAGAAGCAAUAUUGACUCUGUGAAACAUACAAACAAGAUAACAAAUCAUAAUACCACAUUAGUUCUGCAACUGACUGCAGCUAUGUUAAGGGACAUUCUUGGCAUGCAAAGCAUCCGUGUGAAAACAUAAAAUAUGAUCACAUCAUAAUACCACAUUAAAAUUGGUAUUUAAAUAUCAUAAAGAAACAAAAAAUAAAUGCAUGUCUGACAUUCAACUCUUUCCCUGUAGCUAUUAGGCAUGCCUUACAAAGUAAGAAACACAUUGCUCAAGAAAGCCACCGAAAAUAUUCUCCUAGCUUAUUAACAUUUUACAUAGUUUCACCCAUUGGUAAGGAUUUAAAGAAUAUGGACAUUGAAAAGGUUUGCCAUGUUACCCUAUUUAUACAUAUAGACACACCACUGACUGAGACAAUUAUGCAUAUUAAUAACAUACAUGAUGCAAUACUUUCUUAUUAUUAUCGAAUUCCAGUGGAUAUUUUAAGGAACUGUAAAUUUUGCAUCAAUAAUGGGCUGCAUUUAUGCUUCCUGGAAUUAUUGACCUACAAAAAUUUAUCCACAAGAAAUAUGUGUUUGUUUGACUGUGUGUCUCCGAGAGAAAAUAUUUUAUAAUGACUUGGGACCAUGCCAACAAAGGUUGAAUGACUCAGCAAAGAUGUUGGCUGCACUACGAUAACUUAAGACUACAGUAGAGGAAGAUUUGAUACCUUAGCAAUGAUGUUGGCCAGGAAAAAAAAUCUUUGAUAGAAUCAUGGAAGUUGCUAUAAAGCCACCCAAGCCUGCAAUAGUCCCUUCCCAUGUCUUCUUUGGACUAAUUCUAGCUAAUGGUGACCUCCCAAAGUGUAUGAUGAACAGGAAAAUAAAAUGAAGAUGAAAGUGAAAAAUAAAGGAAAACAUACAAGAAUGAGAACUAGAAAAUGAUGGUGCAACAUAUCCCAACUAGACUCCCUAAUUCUGCAAUCCAGCAACCAUGUAAAUUGAAUGCCAUUGUGACUCAGGAAGCUAAUGAGCUGAGUUGAAUGGAGUUAGCUGGGUAGGCAGUUAAUUGGUUAGAGUGUGCUGAGUUGGAGAUUAUUCAUUGGAUAGUUAAGUUAAAGAGUAAUAUAUACUUGUAACUGAAUAACAGGCAUGUAUUGCAAGUUUGCAACUGUAUAAAUUGUGUACAGUAUGAUUCUACAGUUACAUCAUUAAUGAAUAAAAGAAUUCCAUUUUCUCUCUCUAUUUUCUAUUCUGUCUCUCAAUUCUUUCUUCUGUUCUAAACUCUACUCUAUCAACCUCUACUCUAUCUUUUUCUUCCUCUAUCCUCUUCCUUCUAUUCUCUUCUCUUCCUUCUUCUGCUCUCGGUUACCAGUGAAGACUGAUAGCUGAGUUCGGUUCAUGAGCCAGGAACCUAACAAAUACUUUGCAUGUUUCAUUUAAGACAAAGGAUAAAGGAAUUCUAUUUUUCAAUACAUUAAUCAUAUUUCAUCAUACCUUUAUAUUUCUGAAAAUAACUUUGGCUGUUGAUACUACUACCUCUGUUUAGAGUGGAAACUACAGUGAUGGAAAUGUUAUUAUGAAUGAUAAACUUGAUAAUUAGGGAAAAAAACUUGUAAUAGGCUUUAGGAAUAACAUAUUUGACCGAAGUUUUCUGAAAGGUAAAGAAUCAUAUGUUAAAAGCUAAGAAAUACUGAAUGAGUCAUAAUUUUAGUCCGUUUUACAACUGUAUGGCUGGCAAAAAAAAAUUGUUACAAAAGCAGGAGACAAUAUUCGUUCACACAAAAGUGUUUACAUUUAUGUACACAUGUUUUUGAUUUUGGUUGAUAUUCCUUCGCAUAUAUCACCAGAUGCGAUAAUCAUUGCUUCUAGUAUGCUGAUUAUAUAAGUGAAGCUAGAAAUCUGCUGACUAUUUAAGAAGUCCAAAUACCUUGCCACCCAUAAAAGCAUAUGUAUCAGCAGCUAUGAUGCUGCUAAUAGCAAUCAGGGAUGCAACGAGGCCCACAGUCCAAUGAGCUUGGCCACCAAAAAGAACAGGCCAAGAUGCUCCUAUUCAAGGUAAUUAGAGGCAUGAGAGCACAUAUAACAGAGCAAAUUAGUGAAGCAUAACAAGGAGGAGGCAAUUCCAAGACUUCUAACCAAUUCAAAGUACUCACGUGCACCAACAAAUACAAUAGCUGCGAAGGCCAAAGUGAAAACCCAUCCUCCAGCCAAGACAACACCUCCAGCAGAAAAUCCAAUCCCAAGCCCAAAAACAAUUCUUUUUCUCAACUGGCUCCCUUUCUGUUGAGGCUCUGAAACAGAUUCCUGUUCUUCUGGCAAUUUAUGGCCUUUAUCGACUUCCUACAACUAACCAAUUUCAGUAAUCACAUUCAAUUAUCAAUACAUACUCGGAAAGGAAUUAAUGAAACAACAUAACUAAACUGCAUUUACUGAAUUUUAUUAGGCGCCAUCAAAUUCCAAGUUAACACUCUUUAUCAAUCACUUCAACAAAAUCGACAUUGAAUUGGCAAGAACAUCUUCCUACUCUUUUAAGCACAAGUUCCAUAUUGCUAAAUCAUGAAUGCCAAGUAAUUUCCAAUCGCAAUUUAAUUGUGAUAACAAAAACACAAUAUGCACCAUAACAAACACCAAUAUAUAUUAACUGCGAGGUAUAUUAGUCAGUAGUGAAGUUAAAAGAACCUCUUUAACGUCUUCCUGGCCAAGCCUAUCUGGUUCAGCUCUGGCAACCGCAGUAACCAAGUGCCUUAUCGCUGAAAUGCUCCAUGUUGCUUUGGAUCCAUUCAACACUAGCCUACGGUUAAGUUUCGAACACCGUCGAGAGAGAAUUAGGGUUUUCUUCGACAAAGGACGGCAGGGAUGGGCACAUGGACAAGUCACUGAGAGUGGUAUCAAAUUGUACCUCUCAAUUUCCACAAUAGAAGCCAUGGAAAAUCAGAGAGCAGGCAAAAAAUAAAAAAGAAAAAUAAAAAAUUGGUCAUCUGAAAUUUAAAAUCAUGUUGAUUUCAGGGCCUCUAUAAGGAUACAGAGAGAAUUCUGAUGGGCAAAAACUCUGCAAUUUAUUAAGAACAGUAGUUUUUAUGGCGGUCUUGAGGGUAGCAGACCGGUUUUUUCAUAGGGAAGGUUUGGUGAGAGUUGAGCUCAGAACAGCCACCCAAGCAACCUUAGGGCGCGUGACUUUGUAGACACCGAAUGUGUUUCGCUGUAC
rnacentral:misc_RNA from 1 species